rnacentral:rRNA from 1 species
GACGAACGCUGGCGGCGUGCUUAACACAUGCAAGUCGAACGGAAAGGCCCUGCUUUUGUGGGGUUCUCGAGUGGCGAACGGGUGAGUAACACGUGAGUAACCUGCCCUUUACUUUGUGAUAACUUCAGGAAACUGGGGCUAAUACCGGCUAGGAGCUCCUGCUGCAUGGUGGGGGUUGGAAAGUUUCGGCGGUUGGGGAUGGACUCGCGGCUUAUCAGCUUGUUGGUGGGGUAGUGGCUUACCAAUGCUUUGACGGGUAGCCGGCAUGAGAGGGUGACAGGCGAAAUUGGGACUGAGAUACGGACCAGAGUAAUACGGGAGGCAGCAGUGGGGAAUAUUGCAAAAUGGGAGGAAGCCUGAUGCAGCAAAGGCGCGUGCGGGAUGACGGCCUUCGGGGUGUAAAAAGAUUUCGAAUGUGACGAAGAGUGAGUGAAGGUAAUGGGUAAAGAAGCAACGGCUAACUACGUG